UGACUACCUUCUGCGAUGAUACAAUAAUCUGAUGUGCUUUGUCCUAAAAAGCAUGAGGCGCAUGCCAUUAGAUCUAGUUCACUUAAAAGGCGAAAAGGGGGUGUGAUCUUAGAUCUGAUCAUGCCAGUUUUUGUAUCCAGUUCUGCGAUUGCAGUAGCUGCCAUGCUCCUUUUGGCAUAAAAGAAAUGGCAUUGCAUUUGCAUGGGACAGCUUAACUACAGAAGUUAUUUAUGUGCUCUGCUAGCUUAUUUUGUUUGUUGUUGGAUAUUGCAUAAGCAGUAUGAAAAUGUCUAUGGUGACCCCAAUGGUGUCUUUCUCACUUGGUUAGUUGUAUCAUUGUAGCAGGUAGAAGAGGCUUGUCCUAUUUAUCAUGUCAGGAGGAUCUUCACCAUCAUCAAGGCGGAGCAGCUUUAAUUCUUUAUCUAGAGACCUAGACCUUCCUUCAGAACAAGGGUGUCUCUCUAUUGUUGUACUUGGGGCUUCCGGUGACCUUGCCAAGAAGAAGACUUUCCCAGCACUCUACCACCUUUUCGAUCAGGUAUCUGACAGCUCUAAGUACUAAACAUUCCCUGAGCAAUUUUACAAUUUAGACAAACUUAAGCUGUAAUGCACAUCCAGUUGAGCCAUUUCAUACCAAGUACUCAAUACUUGCUUUGUCGGGAUGGUCGUAUCACAAUUAUAAGCACACAUAAUUGUACCUUUCUCCCAUUUGAGAUAGGACAGUGUAGAAGACAAUUUGAAGGACUAGUGACUAAAAUAGAUCAAGCUUCAACACAUGUUGUAGUCCAUUCUUGAAGAUAUAAAUUUAAUCUUUACAGUCUUACAGACAUGUGGCAUCUUUGCAGUUCCUGUUUUUCUAGAAUAUGUCCAGUUCUGUGAUUGACACUAUUAUCAAGUUCAUCAAUAUACUUAUUGAAGUUAAUGUUCAUGCGUUACAGGGAUUUAUACAGUCCGGCGAAGUGCAUAUAUUUGGUUAUGCUAGAUCAAAUCUUUCUGAUGAUGGGUUAAGAGAACGCAUUCGUGGGUAAGGUUUUCAGAUUGCUGGACCUAGUUCUUAGGUUGCAUAACACAGCUGUUUUAUUCUGCAAAGAUUUUCCUUGUUUCCAUAUUGCUGCAUUUAGAAAAAUAUAACCUCGAAACCUGAUCUGAAAUGCGUUGUAUAUAUAUUCCUAGAUGUUUAGCAGCUUCAUGGAAUUGUUAAGAUGUGCACCUUUACUUUUUGAACUUCACUGACAGGUGUUCUUUUUAUACAGGUAUCUCAAAGGAGCCCCGGAAGAAGAUGUUUCAGAAUUUUUGCAAUUAGUAAGUUGUUAUUAUAACCACACUGAAUUUAAUUAAAUGACACAGGCAUCAUCAUGGUAAUUUGUGUCUCAGAUAAAAUAUGUCAGUGGUUCCUAUGACAAUGGAGAGGGAUUUGAGAAAUUGAACAAGGCAAUAUCGGAGUAUGAGGCAUCAAGCAAAUCAGAAAGCUAUCGCAGGCUCUUUUAUUUGGCAUUGCCUCCAUCUGUCUACCCUUCAGUGUGCAAAAUGAUCAGAACAUAUUGCAUGAAUCCAUGUAAAGUUUGUUUCCGAUUCUCUGUGUUGUUUUUUUUAGAAUUCUGAUAAGCUGUUGCAUUUCAUUUGUUCAAUGAACAAAUAAGCAUCGCAAAGUUAGUGAAAGGUUCAGCUUCAUUAAUAUCUGUUUUCUUUUGUUUUGCUUAGAGCUCAAUAAACUUUUACAUUGUUAUUCAAAACUUCUGUUUUUUUCAGUAGUAACAAGAGCAUAAUUAUUUUUAUGCUUUGGUUCCUACCUGUCGUUCACUUCUGUCUUUGUGUAGUGCUGCCAUUGAGAUUUAAAAAAUAAACAUUCUGUCAAAUAUGAAUUUGUUUUGGAAGGGAUACAAAGGACAUCUGUGCUAUUUAUCAACUAAAUCCCAUAUCAGUUCUCAUUGUAGUAAUAUAUACAGAUUCCAAAUGUCGAGUGGCAUACUACUGUACUAAAUUGCACAACUACAUCUAUCGAGUUUGGGCUUGACAUUAGUGUUGUGCAUGCAGCUUCUCACCCUGGAUGGACUAGAGUCAUUGUUGAGAAGCCCUUUGGAAAGGACUUGGAUUCUGCAGAAGAACUAAGUGCCCAACUUGGGGAGCUAUUCGAGGAACACCAACUGUACAGAAUAGACCACUACCUGGGGAAAGAGUUGGUCCAAAACUUGGUAAUGGCUGUAAUUUUGCUUGACUUACUUUACGUUUCACCAACACUUGUCUAACUAAUUUUGAACCAAUCACAUGUUACAGCUUGUCCUUCGUUUUGCCAACCGCUUGUUCUUGCCUCUUUGGAACCGUGAUAAUAUUGAUAAUAUACAGGUAAGCUGAUUUUUAUUCAGUAGCUAGCAGUAGGCAACUUUGUUUUGCUGGUAUAAGGUUCCAUGUACAUAACUGUGGUUCCUUUUAUAAAUUGUUUUACCUGACCGUUUUUGUGACUAUAGUAGAAAGCUGUUGUAUUCUACUGCUACAAUUUAGUGAUGUUUGAAAUGAACUAAAUUGAACCUUAGAUAACUGAAAGCAUGAAUGCCUUUCCAUAAAUAGUCUAAACUUAUAGUAUGAACAGCAUGGCAUGCUAAUUAAUCCAACCCUGCAGAUUGUAUUCAGGGAGGACUUCGGGACUGAAGGGCGCGGAGGAUAUUUCGACCAAUAUGGGUAUGUGCAACAUUGUUUUUAGUUUAGUGUAUUUCAAUAGCAUUUUUAUGAAGUUGUCUGAUCUAAUACCAUGCUCUUAAAAGUUAAAAUACAAAUAUCCUUUGAACAUGCAUAUUAUGCAUGGUAAUGAUGAGAAAAUUGAGAAAUAUUCAGCCCUGUUUGGUCCUUAUUAAUGUAUAGAUGUACUUAUAUUUGAAACUGAGGAUGCAUGCUUUCUAUUGUUGCUUAAACUUGUAAAAUCUAGAGAGUAAAAUUACAAUACUACAGCAACCAAAUAACAUGAAAGAUGCUUCCCUUUGAUACUGAAUUGCAAAACAAAGGCUUUAUGUCACUCUCUCUUUCAAUAUGUAAACAGAUGAGUUAAGGAUAAAGACAACUGGAUGAUGCCGCCCAUCUCUAGCACAUUGUUUAAAUAUUUUCGCAUUUUUUUUUCUGCAUACCUUCAUUACUCGCUCUAUAAAUAUCUGACUCUGCUCCUCUUGCUACAGAAUCAUUCGUGAUAUCAUUCAGAACCAUUUAUUGCAGGUAAACAUAAAUAAGAUAUAUUGAACAUUCAUAUACUAUGAUUCAGCAUUUGUUACUUUUUCAUAAUGGAGUCCAGCUUUUAGAGUUUUAGUAUUUUAGUGACUAGACAAUAGGGGGCUCCUUUUACCGUACCAUUUUUUCCGCUUACCAUUCCGAAUACUUAAACUUAUGGAUUACAUGCUGAAUCUUCUGUGGAAUAGCUAGCCCAUGAUAGAAUUUCUUCAAGAGUACUUUAUGGAUGUCUUUACGAGUAAACACUCUCAGUUAUAAAUUCUUAUUACCUUCUGCAGGUUUUCUGUUUGGUUGCAAUGGAAAAGCCUGUCUCUCUUAAGCCUGAGCACAUCAGAGAUGAGAAAGUCAAGGUCCAAUCUCUCUUAACUCCCUUCAUGUUAACACUAUAUUGUAAUUCUACCAAUUCUCUUGCUGUUGUUUGCUUUGCUCUGAGAUGUAGCAGAGUGUGCAUCUUAUAUUUUGUUGUUUUGUUAGUGCUUAGAGAAAUAAAUUUCGUGUCUUUUUGUCAGGUUCUGCAAUCUGUGAACCCUAUUAAGCCUGAAGAGGUGGUCCUGGGACAAUACGAUGGCUACAAGGAUGACCCUACAGUGCCAGAUGACUCUAAUACCCCAACUUUUGCGUCUGUUGUUCUUCGGGUGCACAAUGAAAGAUGGGAAGGUAUCUCUAUCACCCACAUGACCACAUCUUUACAUGUUAGAGUAGAAAAGUAUAUAACUGGUGUUUGAAGGAUAUAAUUGAAAUACUUGCUCUUUCCCUUUCUUCUUUAGUUCAGCAUGCCCUUUUCUCUAUCAUAGUAUUUGUACUUUCAGUAUGAGCCCUCUAAUAUUUCAUAUCAUGCAGGUGUUCCAUUCAUUCUUAAAGCUGGUAAAGCAUUAAGCUCAAAGAAAGCAGAAGUUCGGGUGCAAUUCAAGGAUGUUCCUGGUGACAUUUUUAAAUGUAUGUGCAUACAAGUUAAUGAAAUAACUCGAGCUGGACGCCUGGACUAGAUGCUAAGUUCAACAAGCAAAUGUGAAUUGUAGGGUGUAUGGACAAACCGAACUGAGCACCAAAAUAAUACUAGGGAUGACAAUUUUGCUCACCUUAUAGCUUCAUGGAAUGCCUCUAGUUGAUUCUUUUGCAAUGGAUAUUUUAUUUGGUUUUGCAAUGGAUCUUAUAGUUGAACUGAAUAUAAGUAUAACCUGGUGAAGGUAAGAAGCAAGGAAGAAAUGAGUUUGUCAUACGCCUCCAGCCAUCAGAAGCCAUGUACAUGAAACUAACUGUAAGUCCUGAUAUUUUCUUGAAAAAAAAGGAAAUCUUGAUGGGAUUUGAAUGUGCAACAGAAUUUCUAAUAUACUCCUUGAAAAUUGAAUUACUGCAGGUUAAGAAACCUGGGUUAGAAAUGGCUACUGAACAGAGUGAGCUUGAUCUGUCAUAUGGGAUGCGCUACCAAAAUGUCAAAAUUCCUGAGGCAUAUGAACGCCUCAUCCUGGAUACGUAUGUGUCAUCCUUUUCGUUAUUCUAUCAUAUAUGUAUAUCUCUUACAAAGAAAUUCUCACUUUCCAUCGUGAAAUUGCAUGUAACGCUGGAUACACCAUGCCUUGUGCUCAUAUAAUCUUGCAAAGCUUUCUUCUAUGCAAAGUGACAGCUUCUCUUUAUUGCACUAAUCGUCUGAUCAAUAUCCAUGUUUGUGCAGAAUACGAGGAGACCAACAACACUUUGUUCGCAGAGACGAGUUAAAGGUUUGUGCCACCUUGCAUAUUUGUGUCUUUCUGGUUGUAUGUGGAGCCUUUUAUCUUCAAGAACUCUUCUGAUUCCAUGUCACUCUAACACCAUACCUGUUGGUUCUCAGGCUGCUUGGCAAAUCUUCACUCCUUUGCUGCAUGACAUCGACGAGGGCAAGAUGAAGGCCGUCCAAUAUCAACCUGGCAGCCGAGGCCCCAAGGAAGCUGACGAAUUGAGCGCUAGAGUUGGUUAUGUCCAGACCCACGGUUACAUAUGGGUACCACCCACCCUUGCAUAGAAGAGAAAAUCUGUUUCCAUGGCAUCAUAGGAAUUGUGUAUCUAGGAAGAGUGCCCUACAAUAAGGCCACGCAUAUAUAUAUC
rnacentral:lncRNA from 1 species